AUUGAACGCUGGCGGCAGGCUUAACACAUGCAAGUCGAACGAGUGGCGGACGGGUGAGUAAUGCUUGGGAAUCUGGCUUAUGGAGGGGGAUAACGACGGGAAACUGUCGCUAAUACCGCGUACCAUCGGCUGAGCCCAAGUGGGAUUAGGUUGUUGGUGGGGUAAUGGCCUACCAAGCCGACGAUCAGUAGCGGGUCUGAGAGGAGGAUCCGCCACACUGGGACUGAGACACGGCCCAGACUCCUACGGGAGUAAGCAGUGGGGAAUUUUGGACAAUGGGCGCAAGCCUGAUCCAGCCAUGCCGCGUGUCUGAAGAAGGCCUUCGGGUUGUAAAGGACUUUUGUCAGGGAAGCGGUACCUGAAGAAUAAGCACCGGCUAACUACGUGCCAGCCGCCGCGGUAAUUC
rnacentral:rRNA from 1 species